AACGCGAAGAACCUUACCCGGGUUUAAAUUGCAGUGGUUGUAGUCAUUAGAGAUAGUGGCGAACUCGCAAGAGUACUGCUGUGAAGGUGCUGCAUGGCUGUCGUCAGCUCGUGCCGUGAGGUGUUGGGUUAAGUCCCGCAACGAGCGCAACCCUUGUCCUUAGUUGCCAGCGAGUCAAGUCGGGCACUCUGUGGAGACUGCCGUCAUAAGACGGAGGAAGGUGGGGAUGACGUCAAGUCAGCAUGGCCCUUACGUCCGGGGCUACACACGUGCUACAAUGGUCGGUACAACGGGCAGCGAGACCGCGAGGUGGAGCGAAUCCCUUUAAAGCCGGCCUCAGUUCGGAUUGCAGGCUGCAACUCGCCUGCAUGAAGUUGGAAUCACUAGUAACUGCAGAUCAGCUACGCUGCGGUGAAUGCGUUCCCGGGCCUUGUA
rnacentral:rRNA from 1 species